AGUAAUCACAUUUCACUCCAGAGACUCCGGAUCAGGUCCGACACCUAAUAAGCUUUAGGACUAACAACGAGGAGAAUUUUACUAAGAAGAAAUAUGCUGCUAAACCACUGUGGGAGAAACUCAUCAAAGAGCUGGAACUGGAGGGGAAGGUGACCACAGCACAAAUUGGCAAAAAAUUGGAAAAUCUUAAAAAAGAUAUAUAAGGACCUCAAAACCCCUAAAACCGGCUCCGAGACAGACAGUGGGGAGGCCACAGCAGCCUCAUGGCCUUUCUACAAAGAUAUGCAUGAGCUUUUGGGGUCCAGACCUUCAAUCCAGCCUCCAUGUUUGUUGGCGUCUUAUGAAGAUCCCUCGCAAAUACUCAUGAACAUAAUCGACCCUCCAUCCUCACCGGUGUCCUCUCUGACAAAUUCAGAGGAAAGCACAGAGAACACUUUGGAAGACGCCAGCACAUCGGCCUCAAGCUCUGCCUCACCAGCUGGAAGAGGAA